rnacentral:rRNA from 1 species
GAUGAACGCUAGCUACAGGCUUAACACAUGCAAGUCGAGGGGUAACGAGAGGAAAGCUUGCUUUCCUUGUCGACGACCGGCGCACGGGUGAGUAACGCGUAUCCAACCUGCCCCCAACUAGGGAAUAACCUUGCGAAAGUAAGACUAAUACCCUAUAAUUUCCUCAGAUGUCAUCUGACGAGGAAUAAAGAUUUAUCGGUUGUGGAUGGGGAUGCGUCUGAUUAGCUUGUUGGCGGGGUAACGGCCCACCAAGGCAACGAUCAGUAGGGGUUCUGAGAGGAAGGUCCCCCACAUAGGAACGGAGACACGGUCCAAACUCCUACGGGAGGCAGCAGUGAGGAAUAUUGGUCAAUGGGCGGAAGCCUGAACCAGCCAAGUAGCGUGCAGGAUGACGGCCCGAUGGGUUGUAAACUGCUUUUAUACAGGAAUAAAGUUAGCCACGUGUGGUUAUUUGUAGGUACUGUAUGAAUAAGGACCGGCUAAUUCCGUGCCAGCAGCCGCAGUAA